rnacentral:rRNA from 1 species
CCUACGGGAGGCAGCAGUGGGGAAUUUUGGACAAUGGGCGAAAGCCUGAUCCAGCAAUGCCGCGUGAGUGAAGAAGGCCUUCGGGUUGUAAAGCUCUUUUGUCAGGGAAGAAACGGUGAGAGCUAAUAUCUCUUGCUAAUGACGGUACCUGAAGAAUAAGCACCGGCUAACUACGUGCCAGCAGCCGCGGUAAUACGUAGGGUGCAAGCGUUAAUCGGAAUUACUGGGCGUAAAGCGUGCGCAGGCGGUUUUGUAAGUCUGAUGUGAAAUCCCCGGGCUCAACCUGGGAAUUGCAUUGGAGACUGCAAGGCUAGAAUCUGGCAGAGGGGGGUAGAAUUCCACGUGUAGCAGUGAAAUGCGUAGAUAUGUGGAGGAACACCGGAUGGCGAAGGCAGCCCCCUGGGUCAGAUUGACGCUCAUGCACGAAAGCGUGGGGAGCAAACAGGAUUAGACUACCUGGUAGUCCACGCCCUAAACGNUGUCUACUAGUUGUCGGUUACUUAGUUGUACGUUAGGUAACGCGACGACGUAACCGUACGUAGGAAGGUACGGACCGGUCCGGUCGGGGUACGGGUUACGGGUUACGGUACGAAGUUAAAGUUAAAACGUUAAAACGGUUAAGGUUAGGUACGGACGUUAGAGACGUUACGACCGACGGACGACGACGGAGGGAGGAGG